GACAGAGGGGGCAAGCGUUGCUCGGAAUCACUGGGCGUAAAGGGCGCGUAGGCGGGAUGGCAAGUCGGUCGUGAAAUCCUUCGGCUCAACCGAAGAACGUCGGCCGAUACUGCCGUUCUUGAGGGAUGCAGAGGAGAUUGGAAUUCCUGGUGUAGCGGUGAAAUGCGUAGAUAUCAGGAGGAACACCGGUGGCGAAGGCGGCCCUCUGGACGGUGACUGACGCUGAGACGCGAAAGCGUGGGGAGCAAACAGG
rnacentral:rRNA from 1 species